GACAGAGGAUGCAAGCGUUAUCCGGAAUGAUUGGGCGUAAAGCGUCUGUAGGUGGCUUUUAAGUCCGCCGUCAAAUCCCAGGCUCAACCCUGGACAGGCGGUGGAAACUACCAAGCUGGAGUACGGUAGGGCAGAGGGAAUUCCGGUGGAGCGGUGAAAUGCGUAGAGAUCGGAAAGAACACCAACGGCGAAAGCACUCUGCUGGCCGACACUGACACUGAG
rnacentral:rRNA from 1 species